rnacentral:rRNA from 1 species
AGAGUUUGAUCCUGGCUCAGAUUGAACGCUGGCGGCAGGCCUAACACAUGCAAGUCGAGCGGAUGACGGGAGCUUGCUCCUUGAUUCAGCGGCGGACGGGUGAGUAAUGCCUAGGAAUCUGCCUGGUAGUGGGGGACAACGUUUCGAAAGGAACGCUAAUACCGCAUACGUCCUACGGGAGAAAGCAGGGGACCUUAGGGCCUUGCGCUAUCAGAUGAGCCUAGGUCGGAUUAGCUAGUUGGUGGGGUAAUGGCUCACCAAGGCGACGAUCCGUAACUGGUCUGAGAGGAUGAUCAGUCACACUGGAACUGAGACACGGUCCAGACUCCUACGGGAGGCAGCAGUGGGGAAUAUUGGACAAUGGGCGAAAGCCUGAUCCAGCCAUGCCGCGUGUGUGAAGAAGGUCUUCGGAUUGUAAAGCACUUUAAGUUGGGAGGAAGGGCAGUAAGCUAAUACCUUGCUGUUUUGACGUUACCGACAGAAUAAGCACCGGCUAACUCUGUGCCAGCAGCCGCGGUAAUACAGAGGGUGCAAGCGUUAAUCGGAAUUACUGGGCGUAAAGCGCGCGUAGGUGGUUUGUUAAGUUGGAUGUGAAAGCCCCGGGCUCAACCUGGGAACUGCAUCCAAAACUGGCAAGCUAGAGUACGGUAGAGGGUGGUGGAAUUUCCUGUGUAGCGGUGAAAUGCGUAGAUAUAGGAAGGAACACCAGUGGCGAAAGCGACCACCUGGACUGAUACUGACACUGAGGUGCGAAAGCGUGGGGAGCGAACAGGAUUAGAUACCCUGGUAGUCCACGCCGUAAACGAUGUCAACUAGCCGUUGGAAUCCUUGAGAUUUUAGUGGCGCAGCUAACGCGUGAAGUUGACCGCCUGGGGAGUACGGCCGCAAGGUUAAAACUCAAAGGAAUUGACGGGGACCCGCACAAGCGGUGGAUGAUGUGGAUUAAUUCGAUGCAACGCGAAAAACCUUACCUACCCUUGACAUGUCCAGAAGCCCGGAGAGAUUUGGGUGUGCCCGAAAGGGAACUGGAACACAGGUGCUGCAUGGCUGUCGUCAGCUCGUGUCGUGAGAUGUUGGGUUAAGUCCCGCAACGAGCGCAACCCUUGUCGUUAAUUGCCAUCAUUUAGUUGGGCACUUUAACGAGACUGCCGGUGACAAACCGGAGGAAGGUGGGGAUGACGUCAAGUCCUCAUGGCCCUUAUGGGUAGGGCUUCACACGUCAUACAAUGGUCGGUACAGAGGGUUGCCAAGCCGCGAGGUGGAGCCAAUCCCAGAAAGCCGAUCGUAGUCCGGAUUGCAGGCUGCAACUCGCCUGCAUGAAGUCGGAAUCGCUAGUAAUCGCGGAUCAGCAUGUCGCGGUGAAUACGUUCCCGGGUCUUGUACACACCGCCCGUCACACCAUGGGAGCGGGUUCCGCCAGAAGUAGGUAGCCUAACCGUAAGGAGGGCGCUUACCACGGCGGGGUUCGUGACUGGGGUGAAGUCGUAACAAGGUAGCCGUA